GUGGGGAAUAUUGGACAAUGGGCGAAAGCCUGAUCCAGCAAUGCCGCGUGAGUGAUGAAGGCCUUAGGGUUGUAAAGCUCUUUUACCCGGGAUGAUAAUGACAGUACCGGGAGAAUAAGUCCCGGCUAACUUCGUGCCAGCAGCCGCGGUAAUACGAAGGGGACUAGCGUUGUUCGGAAUUACUGGGCGUAAAGCGCACGUAGGCGGAUUUGUAAGUCAGGGGUGAAAUCCCGGGGCUCAACCUCGGAACUGCCUUUGAUACUGCAAAUCUCGAGUCCGAUAGAGGUGGGUGGAAUUCCUAGUGUAGAGGUGAAAUUCGUAGAUAUUAGGAAGAACACCGGUGGCGAAGGCGGCCCACUGGAUCGGUACUGACGCUGAGGUGCGAAAGCGUGGGGAGCAAA
rnacentral:rRNA from 1 species